ACCCUCUCUUCUCUUUCCCUGGCCUGUCUCUGUUCAGAUGUUUAAACCCUCUCUUCUCUUUCCCUGUCUCUGUCUCUGUCCAGAUGUUUAAACCCUCUCUUCUCUUUCCCUGGCCUGUCUCUGUCCAGAUGUUUAAACCCUCUCUUCUCUUUCCCUGGCCUGUCUCUGUUCAGAUGUUUAAACCCUCUCUUCUCUUUCCCUGGCCUGUCUCUGUCUCUGUUCAGAUGUUUAAACCCUCUCUUCUCUUUCCCUGGCCUGUCUCUGUCUCUGUUCAGAUGUUUAAACCCUCUCUUCUCUUUCCCUGGCCUGUCUCUGUCUCUGUUCAGAUGUUUAAACCCUCUCUUCUCUUUCCCUGGCCUGUCUCUGUUCAGAUGUUUAAACCCUCUCUUCUCUUUCCCUGGCCUGUCUCUGUCCAGAUGUUUAAACCCUCUCUUCUCUUUCCCUGGCCUGUCUCUGUCCAGAUGUUUAAACCCUCUCUUCUCUUUCCCUGGCCUGUCUCUGUUCAGAUGUUUAAACCCUCUCUUCUCUUUCCCUGGCCUGUCUCUGUCUCUGUUCAGAUGUUUAAACCCUCUCUUCUCUUUCCCUGGCCUGUCUCUGUCUCUGUUCAGAUGUUUAAACCCUCUCUUCUCUUUCCCUGGCCUGUCUCUGUUCAGAUGUUUAAACCCUCUCUUCUCUUUCCCUGGCCUGUCUCUGUCUCUGUUCAGAUGUUUAAACCCUCUCUUCUCUUUCCCUGGCCUGUCUCUGUUCAGAUGUUUAAACCCUCUCUUCUCUUUCCCUGGCCUGUCUCUGUCUCUGUUCAGAUGUUUAAACCCUCUCUUCUCUUUCCCUGGCCUGUCUCUGUCUCUGUUUAAACCCUCUCUUCUCUUUCCCUGGCCUGUCUCUGUCUCUGUUCAGAUGUUUAAACCCUCUCUUCUCUUUCCCUGGCCUGAGUUAUAGAUCUGUCAUUCUCAUUGAAAGUCUAAGAAGUGUCAGAUCUGUUCUAUUCGUGCUAUUGUGUUUCUGCUUCCCAUUCUUCGGUUUGGUUUUUUGUGUCUUUUACUUUCGGUUUUGUUCACCAGCUGAAAAUACUAUAUUUUUGGGGUUAUUGAAAAUAUAUUCCACUGCAGUUUAGAUGGUACAAUGACUCUCUACACUAGACGUGUUUGUUUUGUCAUAUAAACUGAAAUUAGGGGAACUAUUACAAUUUUAUCAAACCAGGAAAUGGAGGAGUGAUGUCUGUACGUUGCAUAUUUUAAUGAAUGGUUUCAACAGCUGCAUGGAAUUGGUUCUGAUGAGGCGGCAGUUUGGAAUGCAAUGAUGACACAAUGGUUAUGACUAUCACAUUCUGUUCAGAUGUUCUAAUUACCAUGGAGACCAGGGUUACCAUGCUCACUGUCUCUGUCUAUAUGAGGAGCUUGGAGACCAGGUUACCAUGCUCACUGUCUCUGUCUAUAUGAGGAGCUUGGAGACCAGGGUUACCAUGCUCACUGUCUCUGUCUAUAUGAGGAGCUUGGAGACCAGGGUUACCAUGCUCACUGUCUCUGUCUAUAUGAGGAGCUUGGAGACCAGGGUUACCAUGCUCACUGUCUCUGUCUAUAUGAGGAGCUUGGAGACCAGGGUUACCAUGCUCACUGUCUCUGUCUAUAUGAGGAGCUUGGAGACCAGGGUUACCAUGCUCACUGUCUCUGUCUAUAUGAGGAGCUUGGAGACCAGGGUUACCAUGCUCACUGUCUCUGUCUAUAUGAGGAGCUUGGAGACCAGGUUACCAUGCUCACUGUCUCUGUCUAUAUGAGGAGCUUGGAGACCAGGUUACCAUGCUCACUGUCUCUGUCUAUAUGAGGAGCUUGGAGACCAGGUUACCAUGCUCACUGUCUCUGUCUGUAUGAGGAGCUUGGAGACCAGGGUUACCAUGCUCACUGUCUCUGUCUAUAUGAGGAGCUUGGAGACCAGGGUUACCAUGCUCACUGUCUCUGUCUAUAUGAGGAGCUUGGAGACCAGGGUUACCAUGCUCACUGUCUCUGUCUAUAUGAGGAGCUUGGAGACCAGGUUACCAUGCUCACUGUCUCUGUCUAUAUGAGGAGCUUGGAGACCAGGGUUACCAUGCUCACUGUCUCUGUCUAUAUGAGGAGCUUGGAGACCAGGGUUACCAUGCUCACUGUCUCUGUCUAUAUGAGGAGCUUGGAGACCAGGUUACCAUGCUCACUGUCUCUGUCUAUAUGAGGAGCUUGGAGACCAGGUUACCAUGCUCACUGUCUCUGUCUAUAUGAGGAGCUUGGAGACCAGGUUACCAUGCUCACUGUCUCUGUCUAUAUGAGGAGCUUGGAGACCAGGUUACCAUGCUCACUGUCUCUGUCUGUAUGAGGAGCUUGGAGACCAGGUUACCAUGCUCACUGUCUCUGUCUAUAUGAGGAGCUUGGAGACCAGGUUACCAUGCUCACUGUCUCUGUCUGUAUGAGGAGCUUGGAGACCAGGGUUACCAUGCUCACUGUCUCUGUCUAUAUGAGGAGCUUGGAGACCAGGUUACCAUGCUCACUGUCUCUGUCUAUAUGAGGAGCUUGGAGACCAGGUUACCAUGCUCACUGUCUCUGUCUGUAUGAGGAGCUUGGAGACCAGGUUACCAUGCUCACUGUCUCUGUCUAUAUGAGGAGCUUGGAGACCAGGUUACCAUGCUCACUGUCUCUGUCUAUAUGAGGAGCUUGGAGACCAGGGUUACCAUGCUCACUGUCUCUGUCUAUAUGAGGAGCUUGGAGACCAGGUUACCAUGCUCACUGUCUCUGUUUAUAUGAGGAGCUUGGAGACCAGGGUUACCAUGCUCACUGUCUCUGUCUCUCUGUCUAUAUGAUAAUAUAUAUCAUAAUCUCAUCCAUCAGCCAGCUCACUGUCUAUAUGAGGAGCUUGUGUGUCGUAGUGUGUCGGUGGUUGGUUGAUAUGUACUGUAGAGGUUUAAACUAAUGUUAUCUCCCCAGCCCAGAGGACUGUACUGUAGAGGUUUAAACUAAUGUUAUCUCCCCAGCCCAGAGGACUGUACUGUAGAGGUUUAAACUAAUGUUAUCUCCCCAGCCCAGAGGACUGUACUGUAGAGGUUUAAACUAAUGUUAUCUCCCCAGCCCAGAGGACUGUACUGUAGAGGUUUAAACUAAUGUUAUCUCCCCAGCCCAGAGGACUGUACUGUAGAGGUUUAACCUAAUGU